rnacentral:rRNA from 1 species
UACGGAGGAUGCGAGCGUUAUCCGGAUUUAUUGGGUUUAAAGGGUGCGUAGGCGGCUUUUUAAGUCAGCGGUGAAAUUUUGCAGCUUAACUGUAAAAUUGCCGUUGAAACUGGUUUUCUUGAGUGUAUAUGAAGUAGGUGGAAUUUGUAGUGUAGCGGUGAAAUGCAUAGAUAUUACAAGGAACUCCGAUUGCGAAGGCAGCUUACUAAAAUACAACUGACGCUCAGGCACGAAGGCGUGGGUAUCAAACAGGAUUAGAUACCCUGGUAGUCCCUGA